CACGUAGGGUGCGAGCGUUGUCCGGAAUUACUGGGCGUAAAGCGUGCGCAGGCGGUUCGUUGUGUCCGUCGUGAAAGCCCCGGGCUUAACCUGGGAACUGCGAUGGAAACUAGCGAGCUGGAGUGUGGCAGAGGGGGGUGGAAUUCCGCGUGUAGCAGUGAAAUGCGUAGAGAUGCGGAGGAACACCGAUGGCGAAGGCAGCCCCCUGGGCUAACACUGACGCUCAGGCACGAAAGCGUGGGGAGCAAACAGG
rnacentral:rRNA from 1 species